AUCCAUCUGACGAGUCCCAAAUGAAACGAAGUGGUGCGCGUCCUGGAU
rnacentral:hammerhead_ribozyme from 1 species